GGCAGGGACAGAGACGGGUCCAUGGCAGUGUCUGCUCUUCUCUGUGAAGGCAAAGGGCCUCUGAGGGAGUAUUACAGCCGCCUCAUCCACCAGAAGCAUUUCCAGCACAUCCAGGUCUGCACCCACUGGCUGGAGGGCCGAGGACUACCCCCGCUUCUAGAGCCAAGAGCUGGGUAGAGCUGCAAGGACAGUGCCUGCACAGGGUGCUCAGGGCUGGGCAUUACCUGCUGCAAUGACAACAUCUAGCUGGAAGGCAGAGCGCUGAUGGACCGUCACUACGUCCCAGUCCAGCGCUGGGCCAUUGUCACCCUAGGGCUGUCUAAGUUGGCAGUGAUGUCUGCCUCUAAUGAGAGGCCAUUGAGAAGGACAUUUCCUUGGAGCUGCUCGAGGACUCGGCUGUGACAGUCGCUGAAGAUGUAUGCCCGGGGGCGGCAUAUCUUGCAGAUGGCCAGGCCUGUGAGGCUGGCACCACUGCCAAGCUCUAAGACAGACCUGGCGAGAGGAAAGGGGACCGUGUCUGC
rnacentral:lncRNA from 1 species